CUGGAAGCAGGUCUAUUUCAUAAAAACAAGGUCGUUCUUUUCAGGUAGGUCAUAGGCCUACCAGACCUUCAUUACUUUAGUAAAACUGUAAAAUCUGUUAUUUUCUAAGUUCAACCAACAACCAAUUAAGGGACCAUUUGUUAGCAAGCAACACAGCCAGGUUAUGCAUGUCCUGGGUAUGUAAAUUGACGCCAAGACACACAAAAGGUGUAGAUGUCUUCAUAUUGAGUUGAAAACUGUGCAGCGCAGGGAGCAAGCUAAUGGCUACUAUAGAGGCUCGUGAACAACCAUGAAGAGAUUAUUGGCCCUUACUAUGUUCCAAGUAGCUGAACCAGGCUCUCGGUACUGAGUCUCGUACGCCAGGGAUAACCAACCCGCC